rnacentral:rRNA from 1 species
CCUACGGGUGGCAGCAGUGAGGAAUAUUGGUCAAUGGGCGGGAGCCUGAACCAGCCAAGUCGCGUGAGGGAAGACGGUCCUAUGGAUUGUAAACCUCUUUAGGCGGGGAGCAAUGCCGGGCACGCGUGCCCGGAGGGAGAGUACCCGCAGAAUAAGCAUCGGCUAACUCCGUGCCAGCAGCCGCGGUAAUACGGAGGAUGCAAGCGUUAUCCGGAUUUAUUGGGUUUAAAGGGUGCGUAGGAGGAUUGUUAAGUCAGCGGUAAAAGGUCCGGGCUCACCCCGGUCCGGCGGUUGAAACUGGGGAUCUUGAGUGGGCGAGAGGUAUGCGGAAUGCGUGGUGUAGCGGUGAAAUGCGUAGAGAUCACGAAGAACACCGAUUGCGAAGGCAGCAUACCGGCGCCCGACUGACGCUGAGGCACGAAAGCGUGGGGAUCGAACAGGAUUAGAUACCCCAGUAGUC